CUGCCAUCUAGCGAACCCACAGCCAAGGGAACGGGCUUGGAAUAAUCAGCGGGGAAAGAAGACCCUGUUGAGCUUGACUCUAGUCCGACUUUGUGAAAUGACUUUCGAGACACAGCCCAGGAGGGAGCUAACGCGCCGCUGUAAAACCUCUGCUCGCUUAGCCAUUUUACUUACUCCGUGAAGAAGUGACCAACUCGUUGGUUCUUAGAUUUAAGCACCUAUAUCUUAGGUGCGAGCUUUGCGGAGGACAUGGUCAGGUGGGGAGUUUGACUGGGGCGGUACAUCUGUUAAACAAUAACGCAGGUGUCCUACGGUGAGCUCAAAGAGAACAGAAAUCUCUUGUAGACCAAAAGGGGAAAAGCUCACUUGAUUUUGAUUUUCAGUACCAAUACAAACCGCGAAAGCGUGGCCUAUCGAUCCUUUAACUUUACAAGUUUUAAGCUAGAGGUGUCAGAAAAGUUACCACAGG
rnacentral:rRNA from 1 species